rnacentral:rRNA from 1 species
AUGCUACUGGCUGUGGAGGGAGGAGGUUUUUUCUCAUCAUCCGCAUCAGGAUACAGCCAUGGCCUUGCACUUUUGUUGCUCGGCCGGAGAACUGAGGAGCAGCCUGUAAGGGCAUCGUCCUGGAAUCACUAUCGACUAGUCGAUCGGGAGGCUGGGCAUGGGGGGCCACUGCCUCCAACAAAAGACGAUGUUCCUGGUAAAUGUGCUUCCUUCACCUGCUUUGGCUGCACACCUGCUAGGCUUGAGGGCGCAUCUCCUCCGAAAUUGAGCUCAAGUAACACGCGGCAGCAAUUAUCCAGUUCCACAAGCAGGAAAGGAACAGCCAAUGGUUCCUCCAUAAACGGAAGCGGGAGAAAAGGCUGUCUUAAGAGUAAUUCGAAAAGGGACUCGUCUGACCGCGGUUCUAUUGUUAGUGACAGCGAGGAACAACCACGGGAGUCUCUGGAGGAGGUGCAAACCUUGAAAACUGGUAUGGAGCGGAGGAAAGUUCACUGGACUGACACGUGUGGGAAAGAACUUUUUGAGAUCAGAGAAUUUGAAACAAGCGACGAGGGUUUGUCGGACGAGGAGGGGGAGAAUGAUGGCUACAAGAAAUGCGAGUGCGUGAUCCAGUAG